rnacentral:rRNA from 1 species
GACGAACCGUCCAAACGUUAUUCGGAAUCACUGGGCUUACAGAGUUCGUAGGCGGUCUGGAAAGUUGGGUGUGAAAUCCCUCGGCUCAACCGAGGAACUGCGCUCAAAACUACCAGACUCGAGGGAGAUAGAGGAAAGCGGAACUGAUGGUGGAGCGGUGAAAUGCGUUGAUAUCAUCAGGAACACCGGUGGCGAAGGCGGCUUUCUGGGUCUUACCUGACGCUGAGGAACGAAAGCCAGGGGAGCGAACGGG